AUGUGGCGCUUUAUGUCUUUAAGUAGGGGUAAAUUAUUCUUGGUAAAACCUUCCUAAUACUUUUCUCUUCAACUCAAGCAUCUUGU
rnacentral:pre_miRNA from 1 species